rnacentral:rRNA from 1 species
GACGAACGCUGGCGGCGUGCUUAACACAUGCAAGUCGAACGAAGUGGCGGACGGGUGAGUAACGCGUAAUCAACCUGCCCUUCAGAGGGGGACAACAGUUGGAAACGACUGCUAAUACCGCAUACUGAAGGAGGGGUUUGCGUCUGAGUAGCUAGUUGGAGGGGCAACGGCCAACCAAGGCGAUGAUCAGUCGCCGGUCUGGAAGGAUGGACGGCCACAUUGGGACUUGGACACGGCCCAGACUCCUACGGGAGGCAGCAGUGGGGAAUCUUCCGCAAUGGACGAAAGUCUGACGGAGCAACGCCGCGUGAGUGAUGACGGCCUUCGGGUUGGAAAGCUCUGUUAAUCGGGACGCGGUACCGGAAUAGAAAGCCACGGCUAACUACGUGCCAGCAGCCGCGGUAAUUC